rnacentral:lncRNA from 1 species
UAGUAUUAUAUAUUUAAAUGAUAGAAAAUAUAUCAUCUUAUAAAAAGAGUACUGAUGAUACUAAUCGUUAAAUUUAUUUAGUAAAUAAUAAUUAAAAUUAACAUGUAUUUUUUCGGCCAAUGGUAAAACUUGCUAUUUCAAUGGCAUCACCCACCUUAUAGAAAAUAAUAACCUUUUCAAAUUUCACCCUCCUUAUCAUCUUAUUAAAGUAAUCUCAUCUAUGCAAGUGUCAUAAUGAUGUUACUCGAGCUUCAAAUUUGGGAUUUGAAAACAAAAUGUCAGAGGCAUAGGUCUAGAUGUUGACUAUUCUGACCCUGUCAUGUUGUUACUACAGCAAUAGGCAAUAGUUACGAUUUGG